GAAGAAGAAGGUCAAAAAGGUCAAGGACCCGGGUUCGAAUCCCCCCAGC
rnacentral:sRNA from 1 species